GACGAACGCUGGCGGCGUGCUUAACACAUGCAAGUCGAACGAAGUGGCGAACGGGUGAGUAACGCGUAAUCAACCUGCCCUUCAGAGGGGGACAACAGUGGGAAACGACUGCUAAUACCGCAUACUGAAGGAGGGGCUUGCGUCUGAUUAGCUCGGUGGCGGGGUAACGGCCCACCAAGUCGAUGAUCAGUAGGCCGGCUGGGAGGGUUAAGGGCCACAUUGGGGAUGUGACACGGGCCAGGUGCCUAAGGGAGGCAGCAAUGGGGGAUCUUCCCGAAUGGACGAAAGUCUUGCGGAACAACGCCGCGUGGUUGAUCGAGGCCUUCGGGUUGUAAAGCUCUGUUAAUCGGGUCGCGGUACCGGAAGAGAAAGCCACGGCUAACUACGUGCCAGCAGCCGCGGUAAUUC
rnacentral:rRNA from 1 species